rnacentral:rRNA from 1 species
GACAGAGGGUGCAAACGUUGUUCGGAAUUACUGGGCGUAAAGCGUGUGUAGGCGGCUUUGCAAGUCGGAUGUGAAAGCCCCGGGCUCAACCCGGGAAGUGCACUCGAUACUGCGUGGCUAGAGUGCUGGAGGGGAGACUGGAAUUUACGGUGUAGCAGUGAAAUGCGUAGAUAUCGUAAGGAACACCAGUGGCGAAAGCGCGAUACUGGGCCAUAACUGACGCUGAGGAACGAAAGCCAGGGUAGCAAAAGGG